GAGGUUCGAUCUGAAAGCUCAGAUUGAACGCUGGCGGGAUGCUUUACAUGCAAGUCGAACGGCAGCACGGACUUCGGUCUGGUGGCGAGUGGCGAACGGGUGAGUAAUGUAUCGGAACGUGCCUAGUAGCGGGGGAUAACUUUGCGAAAGCGUAGCUAAUACCGCAUACGCCCUUCGGGGAAAGCGGGGGGACCUUCCGGGCCUCGCACUAUUAGAGCGAAGCGACUCUCGGAUUGGCUAGUUGGUGGGGUAACGGCUCACCAAGGCGUGAUCCGUAGCUGGUUUGAGAGGACGACCAGCCACACUGGGACUGAGACACGGCCCAGACUCCUGCAGGAGGCAGCAGUGGGGAAUUUUUGGACAAUGGGGAAACCUGAUCCAGCCAUCCCGCGUGUGCGAUGAGGGCCUUCAGGUUGUAAAGCACUUUUGGCAGGAAAGAAACGGCACCGGGAUAAUACCCCGUGCAACUGACAGUACCUGCAGAAUGACACCGGCUAACUACGUGCCAGCAGCCGCGGUAAUACGUAGGGUGCAAUUAAUCGGAAUUACUGGGCGUAAAGCGUGCGCAGGCGGUUCCGGAAAGAAAGAUGUGAAAUCCCAGAGCUUAACUUUGGAACUGCAUUUUUAACUACCGAGCUAGAGUGUGUCAGAGGAGGUGGAAUUCGCGUGUAGCAGUGAAAUGCGUAGAUAUGCGGAGGAACACCGAUGGCGAAGGCAGCCUCCUGGGAUAACACUGACGCUCAUGCACGAAAGCGUGGGGAGCAAACGGGAUUAGAUACCCUGGUAGUCCACGCCUAAACGAUGUCAACUAGCUGUUGGGGCCUUCGGGCCUUGGUAGCGCAGCUAACGCGUGAAGUUGACCGCCUGGGAGAGUACGGUCGCAAGAUUAAAACUCAAGGAAUUGACGGGGACCCGCACAAGCGGUGGAUGAUGUGGAUUAAUUCGAUGCAACGCGAAAAACCUUACCUACCCUUGACAUGUCUGGAAUCCCGAAGAGAUUUGGGAGUGCUCGCAAGAGAACCGGAACACAGGUGCUGCAUGGCUGUCGUCAGCUCGUGUCGUGAGAUGUUGGGUUAAGUCCCGCAACGAGCGCAACCCUUGUCAUUAGUUGCUACGAAAGGGGCACUCUAAUGAGACUGCCGGUGACAAACCGGAGGAAGGUGAGGAUGACGUCAAGUCCUCAUGGCCCUUAUGGGUAGGGCUUCACACGUCAUACAAUGGUCGGGACAGAGGGUCGCCAACCCGCGAGGGGGAGCCAAUCCCAGAAACCCGAUCGUAGUCGGAUCGCAGUCUGCAACUCGACUGCGUGAAGUCGGAAUCGCUAGUAAUCGCGGAUCAGCAUGUCGCGGUGAAUACGUUCCCGGGUCUUGUACACCGCCCGUCACACCAUGGGAGUGGGUUUUACCAGAAGUAGUUAGCCUAACCGUAAGGAGGGCGAUUACCACGGUAGGAUUCAUGACUGGGGUGAAGUCGUAAUAAGGUAG
rnacentral:rRNA from 1 species